rnacentral:rRNA from 1 species
CAGCCGCCACGGUAAUACGUAGGGUGCGAGCGUUGUCCGGAAUUACUGGGCGUAAAGAGCUCGUAGGUGGUUUGUCGCGUCGUCUGUGAAAUUCCGGGGCUUAACUCCGGGCGUGCAAGCGAUACGGGCAUAACUUGAGUGCUGUAGAGGAGACUGGAAUUCCUGGUGUAGAGGUGAAAUGCGCAGAUAUCAGGAGGAACACCGAUGGCGAAGGCAGGUCUCUGGGCAGUAACUGACGCUGAGGAGCGAAAGCAUGGGUAGCGAACAGGAUUAGAGACCCCCGUAGUCCCUGUCUCUUAUA